CAGCAGCCGCGGGAAUACGGAGGGUGCAAGCGUUAUCCGGAUUUAUUGGGUUUAAAGGGUCCGUAGGCGGACUUAUAAGUCAGUGGUGAAAGCCUGUCGCUUAACGAUAGAACUGCCAUUGAUACUGUAAGUCUUGAGUAUAUUUGAGGUAGCUGGAAUAAGUAGUGUAGCGGUGAAAUGCAUAGAUAUUACUUAGAACACCAAUUGCGAAGGCAGGUUACCAAGAUAUAACUGACGCUGAGGGACGAAAGCGUGGGUAGCGAACAGGAUUAGAUACCCCAGUAGUCCCUGUCUCUUAUAC
rnacentral:rRNA from 1 species